GCUUCGAUAGCUCAGCCGGAAGAGCGCAGGUCUCAUAUUUUCCUAUGACCGAUUCAAUCGGGCAAUCCUGAGGUCGUGAGUUCGAUCCUCACUCGGAGCA